UACGGAGGGGGCUAGCGUUGUUCGGAAUUACUGGGCGUAAAGCGCACGUAGGCGGCUUUACAAGUCAGGGGUGAAAGCCCGCGGCUCAACCGCGGAAUUGCCUUUGAGACUGUAUCGCUUGAACACGGGAGAGGUGAGUGGAAUUCCGAGUGUAGAGGUGAAAUUCGUAGAUAUUCGGAAGAACACCAGUGGCGAAGGCGGCUCACUGGACCGUUGUUGACGCUGAGGUGCGAAAGCGUGGGGAGCAAACAGG
rnacentral:rRNA from 1 species